rnacentral:miRNA from 1 species
AGUGUGAUAGUGGUUUUGCAA